rnacentral:rRNA from 1 species
GACGAACGCUGGCGGCGUGCCUAAUACAUGCAAGUUGAGCGCUGAAGGUUGGUACUUGUACCAACUGGAUGAGCAGCGAACGGGUGAGUAACGCGUGGGGAAUCUGCCUUUGAGCGGGGGACAACAUUUGGAAACGAAUGCUAAUACCGCAUAAAAACUUUAAACACAAGUUUUAAGUUUGAAAGAUGCAAUUGCAUCACUCAAAGAUGAUCCCGCGUUGUAUUAGCUAGUUGGUGAGGUAAAGGCUCACCAAGGCGAUGAUACAUAGCCGACCUGAGAGGGUGAUCGGCCACAUUGGGACUGAGACACGGCCCAAACUCCUACGGGAGGCAGCAGUAGGGAAUCUUCGGCAAUGGACGAAAGUCUGACCGAGCAACGCCGCGUGAGUGAAGAAGGUUGUCGGAUCGUAAAACUCUGUUGGUAGAGAAGAACGUUGGUGAGAGUGGAAAGCUCAUCAAGUGACGGUAACUACCCAGAAAGGGACGGCUAACCACGUG